rnacentral:tRNA from 2 species
GCCGGGAUAGCUCAGUCGGUAGAGCACUGCACUGAAAAUGCAGGUGUCCCCAGUUCGAGCCUGGGUCCUGGCA